GUACUUGCUCCAGUAGCACAUAUACUAAAACUGGAAUGACAAAGAGAAGAUUAGCAUAGCCCCUAAAUGUAAAGAUGGCAUGCAAAUUCAUGAAGCAUUCCAUAUCUUU